GACGAACGCUGGCGGCGUGCUUAACACAUGCAAGUCGAACGGAGAAUUUAUUUCGGUAAAUUCUUAGUGGCGAACGGGUGAGUAACGCGUGGGCAACCUGCCCUUCAGAUGGGGACAACAUCCCGAAAGGGGUGCUAAUACCGAAUACGAUCACGCUGCCGCAUGGCGGAGUGAUGAAAGAUGGCCUCUAUUUAUAAGCUAUCGCUGAAGGAUGGGCCUGCGUCUGAUUAGCUAGUUGGUGGGGUAACGGCCUACCAAGGCGAUGAUCAGUAGCCGGUCUGAGAGGAUGAACGGCCACAUUGGGACUGAGACACGGCCCAAACUCCUACGGGAGGCAGCAGUGGGGAAUAUUCCGCAAUGGACGAAAGUCUGACGGAGCAACGCCGCGUGAGUGAUGAAGGUUUUCGGACUGUAAAGCUCUGUUGUUUAGGACGAAAGUGCCUGUUGCAAAUAGUUGCAGGUAUUGACGGUACUGAACGAGGAAGCCACGGCUAACUACG
rnacentral:rRNA from 1 species